rnacentral:rRNA from 1 species
GAUAAACGCUGGCGGCGUGCCUAACACAUGCAAGUCGAACGCCCUUUGCGCAAGUGAGAGGGAGUGGCGGACGGGUGAGUACCACGUGGGUACCUACCUUGAGGUGAGGAAUACCACCGAGAAAUCGGUGACAAGACCGCAUACGCUCGGGCAACCGAGCAAAGUCAUGCAAAUGACGCCACAAGAUGAGCCUGCGCCUGAUUAGCUGGUUGGUGAGGUAACAGCUCACCAAGGCGACGAUCAGUAGCUGGUCUGAGAGGAUGAUCAGCCACACUGGGAUUGAGAACGGCCCAGACUCCGUACGGGGGCGA